rnacentral:pre_miRNA from 1 species
AGUAUAACUGCAGGGUCAUAUGGUAACUCUUUUUGAACUUUUUGAGGAACUGACAAACUGUUUUCCAAGCUAGCUAUACCAUUUUACAUUUCCACCAGCAAU